GUGGUGGGGAGUCGUGAGCGGGUGAGUAAUGCAUCGGAGCAUAUCCUGUAGUGGGGGAUAGCCCGGCGAAAGCCGGAUUAAUACCGCAUACGAUGUAUGGAUGAAAGCGGGGGACCUUCGGGCCUCGCGCUAUAGGGUUGGCCGAUGGCUGAUUAGACUAGUUGGUGGGGUAAAGGCCUACCAAGGCGACGAUCAGUAGCUGGUCUGAGAGGACGACCAGCCACACUGGGACUGAGACCCGGCCCAGACUCCUACGGGAGGCAGCAGUGGGGAAUUUUGGACAAUGGGCGAAAGCAUGAUCCAGCAAUGCCGCGUGUGUGAAGAAGCCUUCGGGUUGUAAAGCACUUUUGUCCGGAAAGAAAUCCUUGGCUCUAAUACAGUCGGGGGAUGACGGUACCGGAAGAAUAAGCGCCGGCUAACUACGUGCCAGCAGCCGCGGUAAUACGUAGGGUGCGAGCGUUAAUCGGAAUUACUGGGCGUAAAGCGUGCGCAGGCGGUUUGCUAAGACCGAUGUGAAAUCCCCGGGCUCAACCUGGGAACUGCAUUGGUGACUGGCAGGCUAGAGUAUGGCAGAGGGGGGUAGAAUUCCACGUGUAGCAGUGAAAUGCGUAGAGAUGUGGAGGAAUACCGAUGGCGAAGGCAGCCCCCUGGGCCAAUACUGACGCUCAUGCACGAAAGCGUGGGGAGCAAACAGGAUUAGAUACCCUGGUAGUCCACGCCCUAAACGAUGUCAACUAGUUGUUGGGGAUUCAUUUCCUUAGUAACGUAGCUAACGCGUGAAGUUGACCGCCUGGGGAGUACGGUCGCAAGAUUAAAACUCAAAGGAAUUGACGGGGACCCGCACAAGCGGUGGAUGAUGUGGAUUAAUUCGAUGCAACGCGAAAAACCUUACCUACCCUUGACAUGGUCGGAAUCCCGCUGAGAGGUGGGAGUGCUCGAAAGAGAACCGGCGCACAGGUGCUGCAUGGCUGUCGUCAGCUCGUGUCGUGAGAUGUUGGGUUAAGUCCCGCAACGAGCGCAACCCUUGUCCUUAGUUGCUACGCAAGAGCACUCUAAGGAGACUGCCGGUGACAAACCGGAGGAAGGUGGGGAUGACGUCAAGUCCUCAUGGCCCUUAUGGGUAGGGCUUCACACGUCAUACAAUGGUCGGAACAGAGGGUUGCCAACCCGCGAGGGGGAGCUAAUCCCAGAAAACCGAUCGUAGUCCGGAUUGCACUCUGCAACUCGAGUGCAUGAAGCUGGAAUCGCUAGUAAUC
rnacentral:rRNA from 1 species